GCAUCUGUCUGUGGUGGUAAAUUAACAGGCACAAAAAGUAUAGCUGAAAACUCUCUAGGCAAGUAGUGUGGUUUGCAAUUUAUCACAAUAUACUCUACUUCAGGCGAGCAAAAUCUAGAGACUUCCUUAGAUUUCGUGCACCAGCUGUUGUUUACAAAUAUGCACAGUCCGCCCCCCCUCGUCUUACCGGAGUGUGCUGUUCCAUCUUGCCGGUGCAGCGUAUAUCCCGCUAGCUGAAUAUCCAUGUCGUCAUUUAGCCACGAUUCCAUGAAACAUAGGAUAUUACAGAUUUUGGAUGUCCCGUUGAUCCUAACGAGGCAUCCCGCCCGGUGUCCUCUGUUCCUGCGUCUCUUCCUCUUGGGAUGUUGGCCUUGUCUGGUGUUCAGAGUAUGUCCUGUGCAUCCAGCUUAUUGAAGAAAAAAAACUGUGUCUAAUCCAAGGUAAUGUCAACUCUCCCAGCUCUUACCGACACCUACCAUUGAGCCCUCCAUUUACUGUAACCAGCAUCCUUACCCAGUGAGAAACCGACCGACACCGGACCUCCAUGGAUGUUGAAAAGUAGUUAAACUUAGUUCAGUCCGCCCUGGCCUGGAUUUCAACGUCCACAGACGUUUUUUGGAACGGUCCGGACAAGCUUUAAUUUAAACUUCCUGAUCUAAUCUAAUCAGACUCCUAUUUUUCACAAGUUUGGAGAGUACAGUAAAGUUUUUAAAAAGCUCAAUACAGUACAGUCCUGUACAGUAAACUAUAAUUCAUUACAGUACACAGUAGAGCACACUGAGUUGAGCACACUAAUGUACUGUACUCUACUAAACGACUUUACUGUAAUGUCCAAACUUGUGAAACAUAAAACAUUUAUGAUUGGUUCAGAGUUGGUUCGGUCCAAACAAAUUUGGUCUUGUUUGGAGGCAGAGCUCAUUAAAAUAAUAGCCAGUGUGUAGAAUAGUACCCACAUAUGCAAAGGAGGAUAUUGCAUAUUUCUACAGUUGUGUACCUAUUUAGGAGACAUCUCCAUGAAAAGAAUGACAUUCAUUUGAUAAUUAUGCUGUUCUAUGUAGUACAGUUCAGGGAUCCAUGAUGAAAUUCCAUUACCGCAAUUCUGUUACCAGGUGUAAAUCUACUUCACUGUAGUUCAAUAACAAAAAGGAGAUGUUUUCAAACUCAAGAUGUCAUGUCAUAGCUGACACCCCCCACCCCAUACGUUGAAAUGUACCAUCCAAUCAAAUCUUGCAGCUGGUAGCCAGAGGACCAUUUAAACUGUUUUUGCAAUACAACAUUCUCCAGACCUCUAGGCAUGACAACUAAGUGAUUUUGGCAGUAUGGCAACACAAGACUAGCCCAUACGCAAUUGCCAAUAGUUGGCGUAUUGUUGAGUACAGAAAAUAUAGGCCUAUAGAGUACCACAGUAUGGGUCAUAAUACCCAUAAAAUCUAGCGGUAAUUUUCGAAUUGGAGCAUAAAUAGAGCUGAAUAUAUUGAUGUCACCUUUCCAAGAGAGAUUUAAAUGGUUAUCAAAACGUCACGCCAGGUUAAGCCUACACAAAACAAAUCCCCUAUGUGAAAAUGGAUGGUGGAAAAACGAUUCGAACCAUUUCCCGUUUUAUGGGUAUGGUGACACGUCAACUGUGGGCCUUUAUAGCCCAUUAUCACUAAUAAUUUGUAGUGAAAUGGAAAAUCAAUAUAAACUGAUGUGGAAAAGUGUAGCCUAUCUGUGUUUCAGAAUGCGCUUAGCCUUCUGGAAUUCAUCGGGAAUUCAAAAAAACAAGAAACUUUAAGUAUAAAACAAUUACAACAAGAAAAACGGAAACAGUAUAUCAAUAGUAAAUACUCACCUUUCGC